rnacentral:lncRNA from 1 species
UGGAUUUCUCGUGGACCGCAGGAGUGUCUGGGUUUCCCGUCCUCUCGCUCAUCUCUGCUUCCCUCCUCUGAUCAUUGAUUUUCCUGUGGGUGGCUGGAGCCAGGGUGUGUCUACUAUGACCUGGCGUGUCUCCUGUGCAUGUACACUGAACUGGGAAGUCUCUUUAUUUUCUGAGUUGUGGUUUCUGACUGUGGUUAUUUCCAUGACCUGGGAUGUCUCCCACAUUCUCCAAGUGUGUCUUCCCUGACAUAAGAUGUCUCGAGAUGUGUCUUUGUGUCUUCUUGAAAUGGAGCAGGUCCUUGCCACCCCCACCUCACCCACCAUGUCUUCUGCCUGCGUUUUGCCUAUGGAAAACUUUAGUCAGAGGAUAAGUUUAAUCAGAGAAAUGAGAAAAGCUGAAACAAAGGAAAACAGUCAGAGAAAACUAAAUAAUAAUAACGUGGUCAUCAAGCAUAGUCAAGGACUUUUAGUUCUUUCUCAAGGGCUAUAGAUGAUAUUCUGAGCAUAUUCUGUGAGCUGUCUUAUAGUUACCAAAACACCAGGUGGGGAAGUUAACUACGUGAUGACCAGAUUGUACCCAGGACAUGAGCUGCCACAAUUCUGAGAAUUGACUGCAAAGGAAUGGGAACAAACGGACCCUGGAAAUGAAGAUUAACUGUUCCUAAAACAAUCAAGAUGGUGCUGGUCAGACCACUGAUGACCAAUUUGAAGAUGAUUGUUAGAGAUAACUGUGCUGUUUCUGCAUGUACCCUCACCCCAACUCUGUCUAUAAAAGCUCUCACUGCCUGCUUUUUGGGGUGGAGUUGGCCUUUGGACAGAUGUCUGCCACCCCCACCCCCCAGUUGCCAGCAUCUGAAAUAAAGCAAAUGUUCCUUUCCA